UCAAGCGUUUAAGGGCGUCUGGUGAAUGCCUUGGCACUGAAAGUCGAUGAAGGACGUGAUAUACUGCGAUAAGUUUCGGGGAGUUGUAUGUAAACUUUGAUCCGAAAAUUUCCGAAUGGGAAAACCCAACUCUUUAAGAGUUAUUUCAAACUGAAUACAUAGGUUUGAAAAGGCAACCUAGGGAACUGAAACAUCUAAGUACCUAGAGGAAAAGAAAUCAAUUGAGAUUCCGUCAGUAGUGGCGAGCGAACGCGGAACAGGCCUGUAGUUUUAUUUGUACAACUAGAAAAAUCUGGAAAGAUUUGCCAUAGAGGGUGAUAGCCCCGUAAAGGUAAAAGCAAAUAAGAUUCUUGAGUAAAGCGGGACACGAGAAAUCCUGCUUGAAGAUAGGGGGACCACCCUCUAAGCCUAAAUACUCUUCAGUGACCGAUAGUGAACUAGUACCGUGAGGGAAAGGUGAAAAGAACCCCUAUUAGGGGAGUGAAAUAGAACCUGAAACCGGAUGCCUACAAUCAGUCGGAGCUCUAUAUGAGUGACGACGUACCUUUUGUAUAAUGGGUCAGUGACUUUAUCUGUGCAGCAAGCUUAAGCCGAAAAGGUGUAGGCGUAGCGAAAGCGAGUCUGAAUAGGGCGAUGAGUUGUACGGAUAAGAACCCGAAACCUAGUGAUCUAGUUAUGAGCAGGUUGAAGGUAAGGUAACACUUACUGGAGGACCGAACCGGUGCCUGUUGAAAAAGGCUCGGAUGACUUGUGAUUAGGGGUGAAAGGCCAAUCAAACUGGGAGAUAGCUGGUUUUCCGCGAAAACUAUUUAGGUAGUGCGUUGAAUAAUAAGAUCUUGAGGGGUAGAGCACUAAAUAGGCUAGGGGGAAGAAAUUCUUACUAAACCUAAUAAAACUCCGAAUACUCAAGAUUGUUUCUCAAUAGACAGACGGUGGGAGCUAACUUCCAUCGUCGAGAGGGAAAAAACCCAGACCACCAUCUAAGGUCCCAAAAUCGUAGUUAAGUGUGAAAGGAUGUGAAGACUCCAAAACAGCCGGGAGGUUGGCUUAGAAGCAGCCAUCCUUUAAAGAAAGCGUAACAGCUCACCGGUCUAAUUAAGAGACUUUGCGCCGAAGAUGUAACGGGGCUCAAACUACGUACCGAAGUUGUGGAUUUAAAGUGUCUACGGACAUUUUAUCUGGUAGCGGAACGUUCUGUAAGUCUGUGAAGGGAUACCCGCGAGGGGUCCUGGAGAUAUCAGAAGUGCGAAUGCUGACAUAAGUAGCGACAAACAGAGUGAAAGACUCUGUCGCCGAAAAUACAAGGGUUCCUGCGUAAAGUUAAUCUUCGCAGGGUUAGUCGGCCCCUAAGGCGAGGGCGAAAGCCGUAGUCGAUGGGAACAAGGUAAAUAUUCCUUGACCUGAUGGUAGUGACGGAUCUCGUAUAUUGUAAGUUCUUAUUGGAUUGAACUUGCCUUGAAGAGGUCCCAGGAAAUAACUCCAUCAUUAAGACCGUACCCUAAACGGACACACGUGUAUUGGUAGAGAAUACCUAGGCGCUUGAGAGAAUGAUGUUGAAGGAACUCGGCAACUUGCCUCUGUAACUUCGGGAUAAAGAGGGCCUUAUUUUGCGCAAGCAGAGUAAGGUGGCACAAGCCAGGGAGUAGCGACUGUUUAACAAAAACACAGGACUCUGCUAACACGUAAGUGGAUGUAUAGGGUCUGACGCCUGCCCGGUGCCGGAAGGUUAAAGCAAGAUGUGCAAGCAUCGAACUGAAGCCCCGGUGAACGGCGGCCGUAACUAUAACGGUCCUAAGGUAGCGAAAUUCCUUGUCGGG
rnacentral:rRNA from 1 species